AAGACUUCAUGGGCAGCGAUGAUGUGGUCGAGGUCCUGAGCCUGCUGCACUUUGUUCCACAGCUCGUCCCAGGAGCACUCCAGCACCUACACACACAGCACAGCCUGUGAUGGUAACGGCACCGCUAAUGGCCUGACCUCAAAGGUGAUGUAGUACUGCAUUUGGUGGAUGAAGUGGACCAUCUCGGAGGCCAGGAUGUGACAUUGAUGCAGCACGCCGGACAACUCUGGAGGGUAAAAAGCACAACAGCAGAUUCAGGGUCAAGUAUGCAAAUAUCCAUUCCUGGUCCAACUAUGCUGCUGCUGCACAGAAGAGAGCGCGAUGUCCUUCAGCGACUACAGUAAAAGCUACAGAUCAAACUGGUCAGAUGAAGUCCUACAGACUGAAUCAAUAAAACACAGCUAAGUAUACCUCUUUGCUCUGCAUAGUCAAAAGGAGAGGAGGACAAGGCCAGUGAGCGGUAAGAGCAUCGAUCACGGCCCGUCCACGAGCCUAUGUCAAUAUAACAAUAUCAAUAUGAUGAGGACGAAACAAAAAAAGAGAUGUCUUGUUGGUCAAUGUCAUUACAGUGUUUGAAAAAUAAAACUAUAAAAGACAGAAAAAAAGACAACAGAGAGACAAAUAAAGCCAGCAGUGCCAUCAACUUAUAGAUAUGCAUCAUAUUGCUUCUUCUUAAUGUCAAAAUAUUUGCUUCGGAGAGAGAA